GACGAACGCUGGCGGCGUGCUUAACACAUGCAAGUCGAACGGAAAGGCCCUGCUUUUGUGGGGUGCUCGAGUGGCGAACGGGUGAGUAACACGUGAGUAACCUGCCCUUGACUUUGGGAUAACUUCAGGAAACUGGGGCUAAUACCGGAUAGGAGCUCCUGCUGCAUGGUGGGGGUUGGAAAGUUUCGGCGGUCGGGGAUGGACGCGCGGCUUAUCAGCUUGUUGGUGGGGUAGGGGCCUACCAAGGCUUUGACGGGUAGCCGGCCUGGGAGGGGGACCGGCGACAUUGGGACUGAGGUACGGCCCAGACUGCUACGGGGGGCAGCGGUGGGGAGUAUUGCACAGUGGGCGGGAGCCUGAGGCAGCGACGCCGCGUGCGGGAUGACGGCCUUCGGGGUGUAAACCGCUUUCGCCUGUGACGAAGCGUGAGUGACGGUAAUGGGUAAAGAAGCACCGGCUAACUACGUG
rnacentral:rRNA from 1 species